rnacentral:lncRNA from 1 species
CAUUUCUUCUCAGUCUCAUUCUUCAGAGAAGAGAGAGAGAGAAGGAGAGAAAAAAAAAGUCUAUCCGUCGCCGACACCGACACCCUCCCUCUCGACCUCGCCUCGCCGCGCCUCGAUUUUCCCCUCGCCCUUGCUUCACCGCGCCUUGCCCUUGCCUCGCCUUGCGUUGCCUCACCGCACCUGGACCUCGCCCUCGCCUCUGGUUUCUCGUCGUCGUCGGGAAGGUGGUGGUGGUGGUGGUGGUUGUGUUGCUCGCGUUUCCAGCAUCACCGCCACGCCUCCCUUUCUCUUCCCUCCCUAAUCUCCACUAUCCAGAUUUACUACCACCACCACCACGCAGCUCCACCGUCAAUGCCAUCAUAGGUAAGUUAAGAUUCAAGUUUCUAAUUCUUGUUCUUAUUUAUCAGAAUCUCUAAUUUUCAAAUUCAUCACAAAACCUAAUUUUCAAAUUCAUCACAAACCUUUCUGAAUCUGUGGUUGUUGUUGUUGGAUUUGAGGAAUUUGAAGAAGAUCUGAAUUGCUUGAUGCUAUUGCUUUUUUCAUUCUUUUUUGUUUUUUGUUUUUAAUUCUGAAUUUGUGAUUGUUGUUGUUGGAUUUGAAGAAUUUGAAGAAGAAGAAGAAGAUCUGAAUUGCUUGAUUCUGUAGUUUUUUUAUUCAUUUUGUUUUUUUUUUUAAUUCUGAAUCUGUGGUUGUUGUUGGAUUUGAAGAAUUUGAUGUUUAUCACAAUCCCUAAUUUUCUAAGGAUUUGAAAUUGUUGUUGUUAAUUGUAUUUAAGGAUUUGUAAUUUUAAAUUUUGUUAAUGGAAGAAGAAGGAAGAAGAAGAGUGGACUGGUAAAAAAAGGGGGGCAUUUUUGUCAUUUAGAAAAAAAUUUAUUAAAAAUGACGAUUUUAAUAUCGUUUUAAAACGUUAGGGACGUUUUAAAUCCAAAAUAAUGUUGGGGACGAAUUUGAUUCCGACCCUAAACGGUAGGGACCAAAACAAUACUUAUCCAUUCUUUUAAAUUGAAAGCAAUUAUAGUCAAUUUCUGGACUUUAAGUCUUCAAACAAAAUUUCUUUUCCAAUGAUAAUAAUUGAUUGUAGCGUUGGUCUAAUAGCAAUAGCGUAAAUGAAAAAUUGUAUGAAAGUUUAUCUAGAUGCACAAAUGAAUUGAAAUGUGCUUUUCUUGUUAAUUGAUUGUUUAUCACUUUUUGUUCAAAUCUGAACCAAAUUUGGUUCAUUUAUAAAUUGAAUUAGGUUCACUUGAUACUAUUUUUAAGUAUUCAUCAAAUCUAUUAUUCCUUAAGAAAUUCAGUUUAUCUCUUAGUUUAAUUGAGUUCAUUUGCAUGCAGAAAUGAAUUGGAAUGUGUUUUUCUUGCUGAAUGAAUGUUUAUCACUUGUUGUUCAAAUCUGAACCGAAUUCAGUUCAUUUGUGAAUUGAGUUAUAUUCACUUGAUACUACUGUUAAGUAUUCACUAAUCUAAAUCAAAUUCGGUUCAUUUAUGGAUUCAAAUGAACCUCAGUUAAAAGGAGGAAAAGAAAAAAUGCAGCAACAACAAAAAAAUGACGAUUGAGAGAAAAUACCCAAAAAAGAAGAAGGAAGGCGAAAAAGAAUAAGAAGGAAGGCGAAGAAGAAGAAGGAGGAAGAACGCGAAAAAGAAAAAAGAAUGCAAAGAAAACGUUAUUGAAACGC